UCUACACUUCCCUAAGACACUAUUGGCUAGAGUUAACAGUUUGCUCACUAAUAAACUUGAAGGAUUUAGUUUUUCAUUCUUCUGAGAAUGAAUAUAUAGGUGUGUCAGGAGCUCCUAGAAAGACCAGUUCUUGGUUUCAUCAUGACUAAGGUGACUAGAAAAUCACUAAAGCAAAACAGGGCUAAGGUAACACUGACUCCAAGGACUAAAGGGAAGAAGAAAAGGAAGACAUUUAUUCCACUGAGAUGCCGAUUACAUUUUAAGGUAUCAAAGACAAGAAUGAAGACAAAACGAUCCAUAGGGGGUACAAAGAAAAAGUUUCAAACAUACAAUGUUCAUCCAAAAAAGCGUAAAAGAUCAGUAAGACCAACAAUUUAUGUUUGUUAUCAUAUGUUAAGUAGGAAAUGGAAAGAAAGGAAGGAAGGGAAACGAAAUAAAAGACGGUGUCAGUCUAAGAAAAAGAGUCAACAUAAGAGAAGAUACCAAAAUAAGAAACAAAAAAAAAGACCGUUUUUUAGCCAUCUUCAGAAUAGAUAAAGCCCUUGAUAAGUUCACCACUUCAAAUGAAGAUCAAUAUAAGGAAAAGAUAAGAAAACUUGCAAACAUUUAUAACAUUUACUGGGGUCUGAAAAAAUGGCCUAAUAUAAAAAAGAUUGAAUCAUAUAUCAACAGGGCAUAUUGGUGAUGGUGAUGAAAAUAAAACGAAGUUAUAGAAAGGUAA